GACGAACGCUGGCGGCGUGCCUAAUACAUGCAAGUAGAACGCUGAAGGAGGAGCUUGCUUCUCUGGAUGAGUUGCGAACGGGUGAGUAACGCGUAGGUAACCUGCCUGGUAGCGGGGGAUAACUAUUGGAAACGAUAGCUAAUACCGCAUAAUAGUAGAUGUUGCAUGACAUUUGCUUAAAAGGUGCAAUUGCAUCACUACCAGAUGGACCUGCGUUGUAUUAGCUAGUUGGUGAGGUAACGGCUCACCAAGGCGACGAUACAUAGCCGACCUGAGAGGGUGAUCGGCCACACUGGGACGGAGACACGGCCCAGACUCCUACGGGAGGCAGCAGUAGGGAAUCUUCGGCAAUGGACGGAAGUCUGACCGAGCAACGCCGCGUGAGUGAAGAAGGUUGUCGGAUCGUAAAGCUCUGUUGUAAGAGAAGAACGAGUGUGAGAGUGGAAAGUUCACACUGUGACGGUAUCUUACCAGAAAGGGACGGCUAACUACGUG
rnacentral:rRNA from 1 species